CCUUGGACAACUUGUUCCAGUGCAUCACUACCUUAAGAGUGAAAAACUUUUUCCUCAUAUCAAACCAAAACCUCUCCUGCCUUAGUUUAAAACCAUUCCUCCUUUUCCUAUCACUAUCCAUCCUUGUAAACAGUUGCUUAUGUGCUCCCUGAGCUGUAGGUUACUCAGCUCUCACUGCGCUCCAACCCCCAUCCUCAGGCACUGCCCUAUUGCUCUGCACACCCACCCUACGGCUUGAAAAAUACGAGCUGUCAUGAGCAGGCAGAUGGAAAAACACCAGCAGGAGGGUGGCCAGCUGAUAUCUUUAACACCUGUGGAGGUGUCAGCCCGGAGGAUGGGUGAAGGAAUGGACACCGUGUGCCUGAGAUCACAGCACAGUCAUCUCACCACGAGCCUUGCUCCCCUUGCAGGCAUCUCUCCAACACACCGUAUUUUUUGCCAAAGGCUUAAGCCACUGGCAGCUCUUCUCACAGUCUUCUCCAUCACCUCUGAAAAUACCUGAGGCUGAUCUUGAGCAGAUAUCAGAGCUCAGAGAGGCAGAGGAAGGGAGUCUGUCAAAACAGAAAGAAACAAGAGUGGGGCAGAAGCCUCCUGGAGAAGGUGGCAACUGUGGCCAGCACCUGAGACCUGAUGAUGCCCCAAAUCCACAGCCAAGGGGCAGCUCACCCAGCCCACCCUCAUCAUGUCUCACAACCCAUCUGCCUCCUCCUCUUUCUGCAGGGGACUGGGGGUGCCUCAUUUGUUUCCAACACAGUUGCCUGUUCCUCCAGGUUUGCCAGCAAAUUAUGAAGUCCAUAUUAACUCAGUCUGCAGCUGAGCGUUGGGCUGAGUUAGUUUCAGUCCAAGCCCAGGGCUGAUUCAGACAUAGGUUGGAAACAUCCCCGAGGGAAAGUGAGAAAAUGGGUGUGUGCUUGUAUAGAAAUGAAAAAGCAUCAUCGCUCCUGCCCCUCCCAAUCACUGUCCCAUUGCACUGCCUUGUGUCAGGCUGCUGACGUCUCAGGAAUGUCUGGCUUGCACUGGCCAUGGGAUGGUCGUGGUCCAAAGAAGCCUGCCAGGAGCCCAGCUGAAGAAGGCACGUGCUUCCUCUCAGUGUGCAAAAACACACAGAUGAAGACAACUUGGAGAUGAUCCAGAGACAAUCAUCGAGGGUGACAAGGGGCUGAGAAGCUGUGAUCUACAAGAGAUGGCUGUGUUUAGUCUGGGACAGGACAGCAGGCAGAAGGGCACGAUAGCAGCCUUCCAGAAUGGAAGAGCUGUCAUGGAAGGGCAGCUACAGGGAGCUGGUCGUGGCUGAGAUAUGCUCAGGGUGUCAGCAAGCAAUGGGUUAUGCCACCUAAUAAAGGCACUGAGAGUGUAGGUGUUAGGGAAGACUGGGUCUGAAUGAAGAGCAGCUGGGGACACUAUGACAACUUGGUGUCCCCAGGCCCAGUCCCUGUCCCUAAAGUAUUUACUGCUUCCCCUUAGCAUAAAUAAAGUCUUUCCUUCCCACCCUGGGCUAUGUCUGCCCUGAAUCACUGGAAAGCUGCAAACAGACCCAUUUUGUGUGUCCAGAUUUCUGCCUCAUUUACCUUCCUACCCCAGCAACCAGAGAGCAGCAGCUCUUCAGGGCUGACUUUGGAGGACUUUGCAAACCAUUAUCUCACAAGGGGUUGUUUUGCUCCAUUCCCUUUUAAAAACAGCCAGCGCAUGUGGCAUUCUGUGAAGGAGAUGGCCGGCUUGGCGCUCAGACUGCCUGGACCCAUCAUCUCCCAUGCACACACACAUACACGUGCUUUCAGCAGUGCUGGGGAUCACGACCUUGCAGAUGGUCUGGGUGAGCUCAGUCCGGGACAGAUAGAUGGAUGGACGAGGGGAAUGCUCCAGGUCAAUCCAAGUGUUUGGUAUUCCAGGAAUCUGGGGGGAUAAAGGGCUUCAUCUUGGGAGGAUUUGUGAUGAAAUAAUUGCAGGAGUUCCAGAGGGGAUGUUUCACACCUGCACUGAGAGUCAGCAGUGUGUGGACACUGGACAAGGCUCCAGAGAGGGCAGAGAAGGGGCGCCUAAUGCUGUGGGGCCAAGACAUCUUGCCAACAGAACAAUUAGCCAUUAUUUGGCCGUCACUCCAAUGUAUUGGAAACCUUAAAAAGUAGAGAGGGAAAAGGAGACCAAGAGCUCCACUUGCUGAUGUGAGAGAAGCCAAAC